GUGCCCCCGCGGGGUCUGUGUCCCCGGGAGGAGUUGGCUGCGUUUGGAGAUCCCUCGGCCUGGUAUUCGUCGCGUCUCCCUGCUUGUUGCUCUCCACGUUUAGCCCCAUCCGACUUCUGGAAGCCCAGGGAGAGCACCAGAUUCUCAAAACAGUAAGUCCUACCACUUGUUCUAUCGUAAAACUUAUUUUGGGCAAGUCACUCAAGCCUUCGAUAGGUAAGAUAGUACCUGAAAGCAUUCCAGCUCAACUCUGCCCCAAGAGGGAGCCACCCCAUGGAAGGACGGAGCUGAGCAACAUGCCACUCAAAGGAAAAGCACUUAGAACCACUCUGAUGCAGACUUUGGAGCCACAUGUGGGUUUGAAUCUCAACUCUACCUGAGUGACCCUGGGCAAGUCACUUCACUUCCCUGAGACUCAAGUUUCAUCAAGAUGGGAACAAUGAGCAUCUGCCUCACAGGCUUGUCGUGAGGAUUAAGUGAGAAGGUGCAGCUGCAAAGACAUCAAGCUGGACCCAUCGAGGAUUUCGGAUUCAGCCAUCAUGGGGCUGCUGCCGGGGAAGCCACUGCCCCUCCUUUCUCCUCAGCACUGGGGUUAUAAAAAAAUACCUACAAACC
rnacentral:lncRNA from 1 species